AACACAUGGACCACCUCUUGGUUUCUUAGAUUGGGUUCCUAAGAAAAUGCAAAGAGUGGGAUGUGUUGAGCUGCUGAAUACAGUCCAGAGACGAAUACAACCCCGUCUUCAUGUUUUUGGACACAUCCAUGAAGAUGACAGGAACUUAAAGAAAACAAGUAGGAAACAGCAAGCUAGAUGUUAUCCUGGGACAUUCUGGUUCCUCAGGGAAGAACUGCCAAGUAAGUUCUAUAGACAGCCUUAGAACAACAAGCUCCUCUUUAUAGUGUCUGCAUGCUGUGAGCAGUAGAAAUCUCCCCCCAACCAGCCAAAGCUACAUCUGCAGUUGUCAUUUAUUGAACCUUGGGGAGGAAUAAUAACAUACUGUUCUCUCCCCUCUAAAACUUUUUUCCUAUCAAAAAUGUCCCACCUGAAACUAUAUUUUCUGCUGCUCCCUUCAAAUGGUGACAGAAUCACCAUUAUUCGAGUGCUGUUGCCAACUGCUCAUUCUGCAGCCAGGGCUCAGUUUCAGUUUAUCGAGGGCUGAUGAAAUCCUAAAUUCUCCCUCUCUCUCCCUCUUCCUCCCUCUCCCCCCCCUCAGAGUUUCUUCGAACAUUUCCCCCCAUUCUUAUC